rnacentral:rRNA from 1 species
UACGAAGGGGGCUAGCGUUGCUCGGAAUUACUGGGCGUAAAGGGAGCGUAGGCGGACAGUUUAGUCAGAGGUGAAAGCCCAGGGCUCAACCUUGGAAUUGCCUUUGAUACUGAUUGUCUUGAGUUUGGGAGAGGUGUGUGGAACUCCGAGUGUAGAGGUGAAAUUCGUAGAUAUUCGCAAGAACACCAGUGGCGAAGGCGGCUCACUGGCCCGGUACUGACGCUGAGGCACGAAAGCGUGGGGAGCAAACAGG